UACGAGGGGGGCGAGCGUUGUUCGGAAUUAUUGGGCGUAAAGCGUGCGUAGGCGGAUUUGUAAGUCAGGGGUGAAAUCCCGGGGCUCAACCCCGGAACUGCCUUUGAUACUGCAAAUCUCGAGUCCGGAAGAGGUGAGUGGAAUUCCUAGUGUAGAGGUGAAAUUCGUAGAUAUUAGGAAGAACACCAGUGGCGAAGGCGGCUCACUGGUCCGGUACUGACGCUGAGGUGCGAAAGCGUGGGGAGCAAACAGG
rnacentral:rRNA from 1 species